rnacentral:rRNA from 1 species
AGAACGAACGCUGGCGGCAGGCUUAACACAUGCAAGUCGAACGCCCCGCAAGGGGAGUGGCAGACGGGUGAGUAACGCGUGGGAACAUACCCCUCGGUUCGGAAUAGCUCAGGGAAACUUGGAUUAAUACCGAAUACGGUCGAGAGGCGAAAGAUUUAUCGCCGAGGGAUUGGCCCGCGUCCGAUUAGCUAGUUGGUGAGGUAAUGGCUCACCAAGGCGACGAUCGGUAGCUGGUCUGAGAGGAUGAUCAGCCACAUUGGGACUGAGACACGGCCCAAACUCCUACGGGAGGCAGCAGUGGGGAAUAUUGGACAAUGGGCGAAAGCCUGAUCCAGCCAUGCCGCGUGAGUGAUGACGGCCUUAGGGUUGUAAAGCUCUUUCGUCAGGGACGAUAAUGACGGUACCUGAAGAAGAAGCCCCGGCUAACUUCGCGCCAGCAGCCGC